UACAACCGCAAAAAAUUUUUUGUGGUCGUAUAUUGGUAUGACGUUGGCAUCGUCAUCGUCGUCGUCAUCCGAAGACACAAUAGUUUUCGCACUCUAACUUUAGUUUAAGUGAAUGGAUCUCAAUGAAAUUUUACCAUAAGGUUCAAUACCACAAAAUGAAGGUGGGGAUUGAUUUUGGGGGUUGUGGUACCAACAGUUAAGGAAUUAGGGGCCAAAAAUAAGCAUUUUUGUAACUUCCAGACAUAACUUAUGUGUUAGUGUAUGGAUCUCUCUGACAUUGUACCACAAGGUUCCAUAUCACAAAGGGAAUGCUGGGAUUGAUUUUGGGGUAAUUGCCUCCAAAUUUUAGGAAUUAGGGGCCAAAAAGGGGCAAAAAACAAGCAUUUUUCUAGUUUCAUGACAAUAACUUGUGUGUGAGUGUAUGGAUCUUUAUGAAAUUGUACUACAAGGUUCCAUAUCACAAAGGGAAAGCUGGAAUUGAGUUUGGGGGUAAUUGCCCAAAAAGUUUAGGAAUAAGGGGCCAAAAAUAAGCAUUUUUCUAGUUUCCAGACAAUAACUUGUAUUCAGGUGUAUGGAUCUCUCUGAAAUUGUACUGCAAGGUACCAUACCACAAAGGGAAUGCUGGGAUUGAUUUUGGGGGUAAUUGCCUCAAAAUUUUAGUAAUUAGGGGCCAUAAAAGGGCAAAAAACAAGCUAUUUUCUAGUUUCAGGACAAUAACUUGUGUGUAAGUGUAUAGAUCUUUAUGAAAUUGUACUGCAAGGUUCCAUAUCACAAAGGGAAAGCUGGGUUUGAGUUUGGGGGUAAUUGCCCUAAAUGUUUAGGAAUUUGGGGCCAAAAAGGGGCCAAAAAAACAAGCAUUUUACUAGUUUCCAGACAAUAACUUGUGUUCAAGUGUAUGGAUCUCUCUGAAAUUGUACUGCAAGGUACCAUACAACAAAAGGGAAGGCUGGGAUUGAGUUUGGGGGUGAUGAAUCAUAAGGGGGUUCAAAAAAUUUGGGGGGG